AUGGCCGCCAGACUCCCUCUCGCUGCGUGCAUCGUCGCCUUCCACCUCUGCCUUCUCCUCUUGCCGUCAUCCUCACUCCGCCGGCUCUCAGAAGCGGAGACCGCGGAAGUCCGCCAUGGCGUGGGCAUCAGGCCCGCCUACCACUUCCUGCCCGCCAAGAACUGGCAGAACGAUCCGAAUGGGCCGAUGUACCACAACGGUGUAUACCACCUCUUCUACCAGUACAACCCGUUGGGCGCGACAUGGGGCAGCGGCAACCUGUCAUGGGGUCACUCCGUCUCCCGUGACCUUGUGAACUGGGCCGCCCUUGACAUCGCGCUUGACCCCACCGCCCCCUUUGACCACAACGGAUGCUGGUCAGGCUCCACCACAAUCCUCCCUGGUGGCAUGCCGGCCUUGAUGUACACUGGCCGCAUCGACAACGCCAAGGUGCAAGUGCAGAACGUCGCCUUCCCUAGGAACCCUGCCGACCCACUCCUUCGUGAUUGGGUCAAGCCCGCCUACAACCCUGUCAUAUCGCUUCCAGCCGACGUUCCUGGAGAAUACUUCCGCGACCCUACCACGGCGUGGGUAGGCCGCGACAGUAUGUGGCGUAUGGCCAUUGCGGCCAAGGUCGGUGGCCCCAAUGGCAUUGCCUCCACGCUCAUCUACCGGAGUAAGGACUUCCGACACUGGAAGCGGAACGACUUGCCAUUGUACACAUCACGUGCCGCCAGCAUGGUUGAGUGCCCGGACCUAUUCCCAGUGGCAGAGCCUGGUACAGAGGAGGGGCGACUCGGCUACGCUUCUGGAACAGCGAGCGGUGCUAUGAGGCAUGUGCUAAAGCUGAGCGUGACAAACAUGACCCAGGACUACUAUGCAAUUGGGAGGUAUGAUGAUGUGGCAGACACCUUCGUGCCAGAGGUGGAUGGCGAGCGCAGCGUCGAAGACUGCCGGACCUGGCGCCGCUUCGACUACGGGCACGUAUACGCCUCAAAGUCCUUCUUCGACACGCGCAAGAACCGACGCGUGCUCUGGGCAUGGGCUAGCGAGUCCGAUAGCCAGUACGAUGACCUUGCCAGAGGCUGGUCCGGUGUUCAGAUAGUUCCGAGGAAGGUGUGGCUGGACGGAGACGGUAAGCAGCUACGACAGUGGCCAAUCGAGGAGAUUGAGACGUUGAGAAGAAAACGAGUCGCCGCAUUGCAAGAAGCACAUGUGAAUGCCGGUGGCGUGAACGAGAUCAGUGGCGCGGGCGCGCAGACUGACGUUGAUGCCAUCUUCGAGAUCCCGUCGCUGGAAGAGGCUGAGACCUUCGAGCCCAACUGGCUGCUGGACCCGCAGAAGCUAUGCGAGGAGAAGGGCGCGUGUGUGCCAGGAGGGGUUGGCCCAUUCGGGCUACUCGUCAUGGCCUCCGGCGACCUGCGGGAGCACACGGCUGUCUUCUUCAGAGUGUUCAGACACAACCGCAAGUACAAAGUUCUCAUGUGCACCGACCUCACAAGAUCGACUGGGAGGGACAAGGUGUACAAGGCACCGUAUGGAGGGUUUGUGGACAUAGACAUCGAGCAGCACCAGAGGAGCAUAUCUCUUAGAACAUUGAUUGACCAUUCGGUGGUGGAGAGCUUUGGUGGCGGGGGGCGGACAUGCAUCACAGCACGGGUGUACCCUGUGCACGCGGAGAACAACAAUAGCCAUGUGUUCCUGUUCAAUAACGGGACCGGCAUCGUGAAGGUGUCAAGGCUUGAGGCAUGGACGCUGGCGACAGCUGCCGUAAAUGUCGUGCAUGGCGGGUGA
rnacentral:rRNA from 1 species